GCUUGUCUCAAAGAUUAAGCCAUGCAUGUCUAAGUAUAAGCACUUGUACUGUGAAACUGCGAAUGGCUCAUUAUAUCAGUUAUAAUUUAUUUGAUAGUACCUUACUACUUGGAUAACCGUGGUAAUUCUAGAGCUAAUACAUGCAGCAAAACCCGACUUUUUGGAGGGUUGUAUUUAUUAGAUAAAAAACCAAUGCCAUCCGGCUUCUGGUGAUUCAUAAUAACUUCUCGGAUCGUAUGACCUUGUGUCGACGACGUGUCAUUCAAAUUUCUGCCCUAUCAACUUUCGAUGUUUGGGUAGUGGCCAAACAUGGUUUUUACGGGUAACGGAGAAUUAGGGUUCGAUUCCGGAGAGCGAGCCUGAGAAACGGCUAGCACAUCCAAGGAAGGCAGCAGG
rnacentral:rRNA from 1 species